rnacentral:tRNA from 1 species
UGGGUUGUGGCUCAGUGGUAGGGUGCUUGCCUCACAUACGUGAAGUACUGGGUUUGAUCCCCAGCACCACAU